AACGAACGCUGGCGGCAGGCCUAACACAUGCAAGUCGAGCGAGACCUUCGGGUCUAGCGGCGGACGGGUGAGUAACGCGUGGGAACGUUCCCUUUUCUACGGAAUAGCCUCGGGAAACUGAUCGUAAUACCGUAUACGCCCUUAUGGGGAAAGAUUUAUCGGAGAAGGAUCGGCCCGCGUUGGAUUAGGUUGUUGGUGGGGUGAUGGCCUACCAAGCCUACGUUCCAUAGCUGGUUUGAGAGCAGGAUCAGCCACACUGGGACUGAGACACGGCCCAGACUCCUACGGGAGGCUGGAGUAGGGAAUCUUAGACAAGGGGGGCAACUCUAAUCUAGCCACGCCGCGUGAGUGAGGAAGGCCUUAGGGUUGUAAAGCUCUUUCAGCUGGGAAGAUAAUGACGGUACCAGCAGAAGAAGCCCCGGCUAACUCCGUG
rnacentral:rRNA from 1 species